GCUACAGGCUUAACACAUGCAAGUCGAGGGGUAGCAGGGUAGCAAUACCGCUGACGACCGGCGCACGGGUGAGUAACACGUAUCCAACCUUCCCAUAACUCGGGGAUAGCCUUUCGAAAGAAAGAUUAAUACCCGAUAGUACUUAUAUAAGGCAUCUUAAAUAAGUUAAAGAUUUAUUGGUUAUGGAUGGGAUGCGUUCCAUUAGAUAGUUGGUGAGGUAACGGCUCACCAAGUCUUCGAUGGAUAGGGGUUCUGAGAGGAAGGUCCCCCACAUUGGUACUGAGACACGGACCAAACUCCUACGGGAGGCAGCAGUGAGGAAUAUUGGUCAAUGGGCGAGAGCCUGAACCAGCCAAGUAGCGUGAAGGAUGACGG
rnacentral:rRNA from 1 species